CAGUCAGUGCGGCCUGCGACGUGGAUCGUGCAGGACGUGUCGGUCCCUGAGCCUCGCUCGGAGCCGCAGUCCUGUGUGUCCCGUCUUCUUUGGCUUUAACAUCUCGGUGACUGAUGCUGUGCAGCGUCUCCUGUCGUCUCUGACGUUGGUGGAGCAGCUCGUGGCCGCAGCAGCGCUUUGUCCUCUUUGAGGAAUGAGGUGCCCUGCGGACGAGCUGCGUCACCAGUUCGCUGGAGGCAGGCGGAGGCGCGGUCCUGGCACCAACCCUCUGACACCAGCGCACUGACCCUCCAACCUCCUCAUUAGAAAUGUAGCAACAUUGUCUUCUACAGUAUUGCUACAUCUCUAUGAACGCUCUUCUGAAUAGAUGACUAUGGCUGGCGCGGGUCCUGACAGACCGAGGCAAGGGGCUGUCGGACCAUGUCUUCUAAAAAUGGUCCUGCAGUGACUCUCCUCGCUCAUCUAGGACUCGCGCCUGGAGGAGGAGUGGAGUAGAGAAUUUCACCAAGAGCAUCAGUGAUACUCCUAUAAUAUCCCUGGUCUUCUUACAUGGGUCUCAUUCUCGGCUCCUCUCUUGAAUACGUUGUUUAAACCUACUGAUUGUAUACCAUACUGAAUUUUACAAUUUAAGACACCGAAUAUUAGUAUUAAUACGAACCUACCGAAAUGAUUUGAUUCACGUAUCAAAUUAAAUGUUAGUAUGUAAGUUAUAUUUAUAAAUUAUAAUUAAGGCAA